rnacentral:rRNA from 1 species
AUUGAACGCUGGCGGCAUGCUUUACACAUGCAAGUCGAACGGCAGCGCGGGCUUCGGCCUGGCGGCGAGUGGCGAACGGGUGAGUAAUGCAUCGGAACGUGCCCAGUAGUGGGGGAUAGCCCGGCGAAAGCCGGAUUAAUACCGCAUACGACCUGAGGGUGAAAGCGGGGGACCGAAAGGCCUCGCGCUAUUUGAGCGGCCGAUGUCGGAUUAGCUAGUUGGUGGGGUAAAGGCUUACCAAGGCGACGAUCCGUAGCUGGUCUGAGAGGACGACCAGCCACACUGGGACUGAGACACGGCCCAGACUCCUACGGGAGGCAGCAGUGGGGAAUUUUGGACAAUGGGGGCAACCCUGAUCCAGCAAUGCCGCGUGAGGGAAGAAGGCCUUCGGGUUGUAAACCGCUUUUGUUCGGGAAGAAAUCCUCUGGGCUAAUACCCCGGGGGGAUGACGGUACCGGAAGAAUAAGCACCGGCUAACUACGUG